rnacentral:rRNA from 2 species
UCUGGUGAUAGUAGCGCUGUGGCACCACCUCUUCCCAUACCGAACAGAGAAGUGAAACGCAGCAGCGCCGACGAUACUUGCCGGGAAGCUGGCUGGGAAAAUAGGUCAUUGCCAGAA